CGCGCAGGUGGUCAAUUAAGUCAGAUGUGAAAGCCCCGGGCUCAACCUGGGAUGGUCAUUUGAAACUGGUUGACUAGAGUUUUGUAGAGGGUGGUAGAAUUUCAGGUGUAGCGGUGAAAUGCGUAGAGAUCUGAAGGAAUACCAGUGGCGAAGGCGGCCACCUGGACAGAGACUGACACUGAGGCGCGAAGGCGUGGGGAGCAAACG
rnacentral:rRNA from 1 species